UACGAAGGGGGCUAGCGUUGCUCGGAAUUACUGGGCGUAAAGGGCGCGUAGGCGGCUUGAUAAGUAGGAGGUGAAAUUUCGUGGCUCAACCACGAAACUGCCUUCUAAACUGUCAGGCUUGAGCACGGUAGAGGCAGAUGGAAUUCCCGGUGUAGCGGUGGAAUGCGUAGAGAUCGGGAAGAACACCAGUGGCGAAGGCGGUCUGCUGGGCCGUUGCUGACGCUGAAGCGCGACAGCGUGGGGAGCAAACAGG
rnacentral:rRNA from 1 species